GGGUGGUGCAUGGCUGUCGUCAGCUCGUGUCGUGAGAUGUUGGGUUAAGUCCCGCAACGAGCGCAACCCUUGUCCUGUGUUGCCAGCAUGCCCUUCGGGGUGAUGGGGACUCACAGGAGACCGCCGGGGUCAACUCGGAGGAAGGUGGGGACGACGUCAAGUCAUCAUGCCCCUUAUGUCUUGGGCUGCACACGUGCUACAAUGGCCGGUACAAUGAGCUGCGAUACCGUGAGGUGGAGCGAAUCUCAAAAAGCCGGUCUCAGUUCGGAUUGGGGUCUGCAACUCGACCCCAUGAAGUCGGAGUCGCUAGAAUCGCAAUUAC
rnacentral:rRNA from 1 species